rnacentral:rRNA from 1 species
GACGUAGGGCGCGAGCGUUGUCCGGAUUUAUUGGGCGUAAAGAGCUCGUAGGCGGCUCAUCGCGUCUGCCGUGAAAACCCGCAGCUCAACUGCGGGCUUGCGGUUGAUACGGGUGGGCUGGAGUUCGGUAGGGGAGACUGGAAUUCCUGGUGUAGCGGUGAAAUGCGCAGAUAUCAGGAGGAACACCAGUGGCGAAGGCGGGUCUCUGGACAGUUCCUGACACUGAGGCACGAAGGCCAGGGGAGCAAACGGG